rnacentral:rRNA from 1 species
UAGCGUAGGGUGCGAGCGUUAAUCGGAAUUACUGGGCGUAAAGCGUGCGCAGGCGGUUCGCUGUGUCCUGAUGUGAAAGCCCCGGGCUUAACCUGGGAAUGGCAUGGGAAACUGGCGGGCUGGAGUGUGGCAGAGGGGGUGGAAUUCCGGCGUGUAGCAGUGAAAUGCGUAGAGAUGCGGAGGAACACCGAUGGCGAAGGCAGCCCCCUGGGCGUAACACUGACGCUCAGGCACGAAAGCGUGGGGAGCAAACAGG